rnacentral:rRNA from 1 species
GGCAGCAGCUAAGAAUAUUCCGCAAUGGGGGAAACCCUGACGGAGCGACGCCGCGUGGACGAUGAAGGCCGGAAGGUUGUAAAGUCCUUUUAUGACUGAUGAAUAAGGGAUGUGAGAGAAACGCAUUCUGGUGACGGUAGGUCAUGAAUAAGCAACGGCUAAUUACGUGCCAGCAGCCGCGGUAACACGUAAGUUGCGAGCGUUGUUCGGAAUUAUUGGGCGUAAAGGGCAUGUAGGCGGAACCGCAAGUCUGGUGUGAAAGGCAGGGGCUCAACCCCUGGACUGCGUUGGAAACUGCGGUACUAGAGUCGUUGAGGGGCAGGCAGAAUUCCAGGUGUAGGGGUGAAAUCUGUAGAUAUCUGGAAGAAUACCGAUGGCGAAGGCAGCCUGCCAGCAGAUGACUGACGCUGAGGUGCGAAGGUGCGGGGAGCAAACAGGAUUAGAUACCCUGGUAGUCCGCACAGUCAACUAUGUACACUGGGUGUCUGGACAGAAGUCUGGGUGCCGAAGCAAACGCGAUAAGUGUACCGCCUGGGGAGUAUGCCCGCAAGGGUGAAACUCAAAGGAAUUGACGG